GGAAUAUUUGUCAAUGGACGGAAGUCUGAACCAGCCAUGCCGCGUGGAGGAUGAAGGUCCUCUGGAUUGUAAACUUCUUUUAUAGGGGGCGAAAAAAGGGAAUUCUUUCUCGUCUGACGGUACCCUAUGAAUAAGCACCGGCUAACUCCGUGCCAGCAGCCGCGGUAAUACGGAGGGUGCAAGCGUUAUCCGGAUUCACUGGGUUUAAAGGGAGCGUAGGCGGACAUGUAAGUCCGUGGUGAAAGCCCUCAGCUCAACUGAGGAACUGCCAUGGAUACUAUAUGUCUUGAAUGUCGUUGAGGUUUGCGGAAUGGGUCAUGUAGCGGUGAAAUGCUUAGAUAUGACCCGGAACACCAAUUGCGAAGGCAGCAGGCUAAACGAAUAUUGACGCUGAGGCUCGAAAGCGUGGGGAUCAA
rnacentral:rRNA from 1 species